rnacentral:rRNA from 1 species
GCUGGCGGCAGGCCUAACACGUGCAAGUCGAACGCACUCUUCGGAGUGAGUGGCAGACGGGUGAGUAACGCGUGGGAAUCUACCCAGUACUACGGAAUAACUCAGGGAAACUUGUGCUAAUACCGUAUACGCCCUCCGGGGGAAAGAUUUAUCGGUAUUGGAUGAGCCCGCGUUUGAUUAGCUAGUUGGUGAGGUAAUGGCUCACCAAGGCGACGAUCAAUAGCUGGUCUGAGAGGAUGAUCAGCCACACUGGGACUGAGACACGGCCCAGACUCCUACGGGAGGCAGCAGUGGGGAAUAUUGGACAAUGGGCGCAAGCCUGAUCCAGCCAUGCCGCGUGAGUGAUGACGGCCUUAGGGUUGUAAAACUCUUUCAACGGUGAAGAUAAUGACGGUAACCGUAGAAGAAGCCCCGGCUAACUUCGUGCCAGCAGCCGCGGUAAUACGAAGGGGGCUAGCGUUGUUCGGAAUAACUGGGCGUAAAGCGCGCGUAGGCGGACUAGUCAGUCAGGGGUGAAAUCCCGGGGCUCAACCCCGGAACUGCCUUUGAUACUGCUAAUCUUGAGUUCGAGAGAGGUGAGUGGAAUUCCGAGUGUAGAGGUGAAAUUCGUAGAUAUUCGGAGGAACACCAGUGGCGAAGGCGGCUCACUGGCUCGAUACUGACGCUGAGGUGCGAAAGCGUGGG